rnacentral:tRNA from 1 species
UCCCAUAUGGUCUAGCGGUUAGAAUUCCUGGUUUUCAGCCGGGUGGCACAGGUUUAACUCCCGUUAUGGGAA